rnacentral:rRNA from 1 species
GAUUAAGUUAUUAAGGGCGCACGGUGGAUGCCUUGGCACUAGAAGCCGAUGAAGGACGUUACUAACGACGAUAUGCUUUGGGGAGCUGUAAGUAAGCUUUGAUCCAGAGAUUUCCGAAUGGGGAAACCCAGCAUGAGUUAUGUCAUGUUAUCGAUAUGUGAAUACAUAGCAUAUCAGAAGGCACACCCGGAGAACUGAAACAUCUUAGUACCCGGAGGAAGAGAAAGAAAAUUCGAUUCCCUUAGUAGCGGCGAGCGAAACGGGAAGAGCCCAAACCAACAAGCUUGCUUGUUGGGGUUGUAGGACACUCUNUACGGAGUUACAAAGGACGACAUUAGACGAAUCAUCUGGAAAGAUGAAUCAAAGAAGGUAAUAAUCCUGUAGUCGAAAAUGUUGUCUCUCUUGAGUGGAUCCUGAGUACGACGGAGCACGUGAAAUUCCGUCGGAAUCUGGGAGGACCAUCUCCUAAGGCUAAAUACUCUCUAGUGACCGAUAGUGAACCAGUACCGUGAGGGAAAGGUGAAAAGCACCCCGGAAGGGGAGUGAAAUAGAACCUGAAACCGUGUGCUUACAAGUAGUCAGAGCCCGUUAAUGGGUGAUGGCGUGCCUUUUGUAGAAUGAACCGGCGAGUUACGAUUUGAUGCAAGGUUAAGCAGUAAAUGUGGAGCCGUAGCGAAAGCGAGUCUGAAUAGGGCGUUUAGUAUUUGGUCGUAGACCCGAAACCAGGUGAUCUACCCUUGGUCAGGUUGAAGUUCAGGUAACACUGAAUGGAGGACCGAACCGACUUACGUUGAAAAGUGAGCGGAUGAACUGAGGGUAGCGGAGAAAUUCCAAUCGAACCUGGAGAUAGCUGGUUCUCUCCGAAAUAGCUUUAGGGCUAGCCUCAAGUGAUGAUUAUUGGAGGUAGAGCACUGUUUGGACGAGGGGCCCCUCUCGGGUUACCGAAUUCAGACAAACUCCGAAUGCCAAUUAAUUUAACUUGGGAGUCAGAACAUGGGUGAUAAGGUCCGUGUUCGAAAGGGAAACAGCCCAGACCACCAGCUAAGGUCCCAAAAUAUAUGUUAAGUGGAAAAGGAUGUGGCGUUGCCCAGACAACUAGGAUGUUGGCUUAGAAGCAGCCAUCAUUUAAAGAGUGCGUAAUAGCUCACUAGUCGAGUGACACUGCGCCGAAAAUGUACCGGGGCUAAACAUAUUACCGAAGCUGUGGAUUGUCCUUUGGACAAUGGUAGGAGAGCGUUCUAAGGGCGUUGAAGCAUGAUCGUAAGGACAUGUGGAGCGCUUAGAAGUGAGAAUGCCGGUGUGAGUAGCGAAAGACGGGUGAGAAUCCCGUCCACCGAUUGACUAAGGUUUCCAGAGGAAGGCUCGUCCGCUCUGGGUUAGUCGGGUCCUAAGCUGAGGCCGACAGGCGUAGGCGAUGGAUAACAGGUUGAUAUUCCUGUACCACCUAUAAUCGUUUUAAUCGAUGGGGGGACGCAGUAGGAUAGGCGAAGCGUGCGAUUGGAUUGCACGUCUAAGCAGUAAGGCUGAGUAUUAGGCAAAUCCGGUACUCGUUAAGGCUGAGCUGUGAUGGGGAGAAGACAUUGNGUCUUCGAGUCGUUGAUUUCACACUGCCGAGAAAAGCCUCUAGAUAGAAAAUAGGUGCCCGUACCGCAAACCGACACAGGUAGUCAAGAUGAGAAUUCUAAGGUGAGCGAGCGAACUCUCGUUAAGGAACUCGGCAAAAUGACCCCGUAACUUCGGGAGAAGGGGUGCUCUUUAGGGUUAACGCCCAGAAGAGCCGCAGUGAAUAGGCCCAAGCGACUGUUUAUCAAAAACACAGGUCUCUGCUAAACCGUAAGGUGAUGUAUAGGGGCUGACGCCUGCCCGGUGCUGGAAGGUUAAGAGGAGUGGUUAGCUUCUGCGAAGCUACGAAUCGAAGCCCCAGUAAACGGCGGCCGUAACUAUAACGGUCCUAAGGUAGCGAAAUUCCUUGUCGGGUAAGUUCCGACCCGCACGAAAGGCGUAACGAUUUGGGCACUGUCUCAACGAGAGACUCGGUGAAAUCAUAGUACCUGUGAAGAUGCAGGUUACCCGCGACAGGACGGAAAGACCCCGUGGAGCUUUACUGUAGCCUGAUAUUGAAAUUCGGCACAGCUUGUACAGGAUAGGUAGGAGCCUUUGAAACGUGAGCGCUAGCUUACGUGGAGGCGCUGGUGGGAUACUACCCUAGCUGUGUUGGCUUUCUAACCCGCACCACUUAUCGUGGUGGGAGACAGUGUCAGGCGGGCAGUUUGACUGGGGCGGUCGCCUCCUAAAAGGUAACGGAGGCGCUCAAAGGUUCCCUCAGAAUGGUUGGAAAUCAUUCAUAGAGUGUAAAGGCAUAAGGGAGCUUGACUGCGAGACCUACAAGUCGAGCAGGGUCGAAAGACGGACUUAGUGAUCCGGUGGUUCCGCAUGGAAGGGCCAUCGCUCAACGGAUAAAAGCUACCCCGGGGAUAACAGGCUUAUCUCCCCCAAGAGUUCACAUCGACGGGGAGGUUUGGCACCUCGAUGUCGGCUCAUCGCAUCCUGGGGCUGUAGUCGGUCCCAAGGGUUGGGCUGUUCGCCCAUUAAAGCGGUACGCGAGCUGGGUUCAGAACGUCGUGAGACAGUUCGGUCCCUAUCCGUCGUGGGCGUAGGAAAUUUGAGAGGAGCUGUCCUUAGUACGAGAGGACCGGGAUGGACAUACCUCUGGUGUACCAGUUGUCGUGCCAACGGCAUAGCUGGGUAGCUAUGUGUGGACGGGAUAAGUGCUGAAAGCAUCUAAGCAUGAAGCCCCCCUCAAGAUGAGAUUUCCCAACUUCGGUUAUAAGAUCCCUCAAAGAUGAUGAGGUUAAUAGGUUCGAGGUGGAAGCAUGGUGACAUGUGGAGCUGACGAAUACUAAUCGAUCGAAGACUUAAUCAA